AGAGUUUGAUCCUGGCUCAGGAUGAACGCUAGCGGCAGGCUUAACACAUGCAAGUCGAGGGGCAGCGGGGAGGAAGCUUGCUUUCUCCGCCGGCGACCGGCGCACGGGUGAGUAACACGUAUGCAACCUGCCCCUGUCAGGGGGACAACCCGCCGAAAGGCGGGCUAAACCCGCGUACAUGCCACCGGGGCAUCCCGGAGGCAGGAAAGGCUUCGGCCGGACAGGGAUGGGCAUGCGGCGCAUUAGGCAGUAGGCGGGGUAACGGCCCACCUAACCGACGAUGCGUAGGGGUUCUGAGAGGAAGGUCCCCCACACUGGUACUGAGACACGGACCAGACUCCUACGGGAGGCAGCAGUGAGGAAUAUUGGUCAAUGGUCGGGAGACUGAACCAGCCAAGCCGCGUGAGGGAGGAAGGUACAGAGUAUCGUAAACCUCUUUUGUCAGGGAACAAAGGCGGGGACGUGUCCCCGGAUGAGUGUACCUGAAGAAAAAGCAUCGGCUAACUCCGUGCCAGCAGCCGCGGUAAUACGGAGGAUGCGAGCGUUAUCCGGAUUUAUUGGGUUUAAAGGGUGCGCAGGCGGUCUGUUAAGUCAGCGGUCAAAGCCCGGGGCUCAACCCCGGCCCGCCGUUGAAACUGGCAGUCUCGAGUUGGAGAGAAGUAUGCGGAAUGCGCGGUGUAGCGGUGAAAUGCAUAGAUAUCGCGCAGAACUCCGAUUGCGAAGGCAGCAUGCCGGCUCCACACUGACGCUGAGGCACGAAAGCGUGGGUAUCGAACAGGAUUAGAUACCCUGGUAGUCCACGCAGUAAACGAUGAAUGCUGGCUGUCCGGGGGGAUUGACCCCUGGGUGGCGAAGCGAAAGCGAUAAGCAUUCCACCUGGGGAGUACGCCGGCAACGGUGAAACUCAAAGGAAUUGACGGGGGCCCGCACAAGCGGAGGAACAUGUGGUUUAAUUCGAUGAUACGCGAGGAACCUUACCCGGGCUCAAACGGGGAGUGACUCAGGCAGAGACGCCUGUUUCCCACGGGACACUCCCCGAGGUGCUGCAUGGUUGUCGUCAGCUCGUGCCGUGAGGUGUCGGCUUAAGUGCCAUAACGAGCGCAACCCCCGCGUGCAGUUGCUAACAGAUAACGCUGAGGACUCUGCACGGACUGCCGGCGCAAGCCGCGAGGAAGGCGGGGAUGACGUCAAAUCAGCACGGCCCUUACGUCCGGGGCGACACACGUGUUACAAUGGGUGGUACAGCGGGAAGCCAGGCGGCGACGCCGAGCGGAACCCGAAAUCCACUCUCAGUUCGGAUCGGAGUCUGCAACCCGACUCCGUGAAGCUGGAUUCGCUAGUAAUCGCGCAUCAGCCAUGGCGCGGUGAAUACGUUCCCGGGCCUUGCACUCACAGCCCGUCAAG
rnacentral:rRNA from 1 species